rnacentral:piRNA from 1 species
GAUAUGAAUGGACCCUUGGG